UUCUGAAUAUUAAAAUUUGAUAGUAGUGAAUCCACAAGAAACUCAAGCGUUUUUGUGAAAUCCUAUAUGUUUAAUCAUAGCGCCAAAGAUUUAUGCGAUGAAUUGCAAGUUCAGAACAAAAAAAUCAGUUCAAAGAUUUGUGUUCUAACAUAAUCUCUUAAUUGAAUAUUUAUUUUAUUUAUGUAACAUUUUUUUGUUUUAUAUCAAACAUUUGAUCUUCCUCAAGAUCAAUGAAAC
rnacentral:lncRNA from 1 species